AUGGGGCUGGAGCACGGACUGAGCGGCCUGGUAGCAGAUGGCAGUGGGCAAAGGCCGCGACAAGGCCAGGUAAGAAACGACGAGGGACAAAGGCAAAGGGAGGAAACAGGAGAGGGGACAGCACUGCCCGGGAGUUGUGCAGGGUGGGCCACCCUCAAGGGUCCCGCCGGCCGAUGCCAAGAAGCGAAGGGCCUUGCAAAAGAAAGCGCCCUGCGCCCGACGAGCCGGGCAGAUGCUCGGAAACGUGCGCUGCGCGGGGAGGGCUGCAUUCAGACGGAGCUGGAGCUCAGAGGAAGAUCCCGCACUAGGUGGCCAAGCCACGAUCGCGUUCGCGACGGUCCACACCCUCAGGAUCUCGGGUCCCCGGCUCCGCCCAGCCCAGCCCAGCCCUGCCCUCCCGCCGCCCUGCGUCAUUGGCCGCCCUCAGUGCCUUGCCCAUCAGCCAAUAGGAACCAAGGCCGCCGGCGCUUCCGCUUGGGCGUGGGGUCAAAGGUCACCUAUGAUGGCGGCGCCCAGCAGCAGCUGAGGCGUGAGGAGGGGAAUGGAGCGGGCGGCGGGGCCUCGUCUGGGGCGCCGGCUGAGCUUCGGGCCCGAGGCGGGGGCCAUGGACGGCGGCCGGGCGCUCGCGGAGCCCGCGGGAGGCGGCCGCGCCCGUGGUCCGAUUGCUCCCGGCUGUAGUGACAGUCACGAAGUCCACAGAGUGCAGGACUUCGAUGAACAGGUGUUCCAGGUUACGAUGCCUGGGGAGCUGGGGAUGUGGCGUGUGGCGUGGAUUACAUGGUGACUGGCCAGGUCAUUCCUCUGAAUCUCCCAGCUGAGUGCCCGGUUCUCGAGUGCCUCCCACUGGAGACCGGCCCUGGCCUUGGAACCACUUGACGCUUAGUGGAGGCAGCCAGUGGGGCUCUGGAUGGGGUCAGAGAGGCCCAGGCCCUUCGUGAAGUGUGACGCUGUCUCCUCAAGCCCUCAGCAG
rnacentral:lncRNA from 1 species